rnacentral:rRNA from 1 species
AUAACUGGGUCUAGCUGUCUCAUAAAUAUUUUUUUGAAUUUACUGUUUAAGUGAAAAAGCUUAAAUUUUAUAAAGGGACGAGAAGACCCUUGGAAUUUUUUUUAAUUUAGGAUUAUUCCUAAUGUUAUUUUGUUGGGGCGACAUAGAAAUAGUUAAAACUUUCUUUAUAAUAUGAGUCGGAAUUUUCAGGAAAAGAUAAAUUACCCAAGGGAUAACAGCAUAAUUCUAUAAAUGAGUUUGUGACCUCGAUGUUGGACUAGGAAGCUGGCAGGUUAGCUGCUUGUCGUGCGAAUUCUGUUCGAAUUUUAACUCCUACGUGAUCUGAGUUCAGACANGAUCCCCUG